rnacentral:rRNA from 2 species
ACGAACUCUGUAUUGAUUGGUGCUUGCAUCAUGAUUUACAUUUGAGUGAGUGGCGAACUGGUGAGUAACACGUGGGAAACCUGCCCAGAAGCGGGGGAUAACACCUGGAAACAGAUGCUAAUACCGCAUAACAACUUGGACCGCAUGGUCCGAGCUUGAAAGAUGGCUUCGGCUAUCACUUUUGGAUGGUCCCGCGGCGUAUUAGCUAGAUGGUGGGGUAACGGCUCACCAUGGCAAUGAUACGUAGCCGACCUGAGAGGGUAAUCGGCCACAUUGGGACUGAGACACGGCCCAAACUCCUACGGGAGGCAGCAGUAGGGAAUCUUCCACAAUGGACGAAAGUCUGAUGGAGCAACGCCGCGUGAGUGAAGAAGGGUUUCGGCUCGUAAAACUCUGUUGUUAAAGAAGAACAUAUCUGAGAGUAACUGUUCAGGUAUUGACGGUAUUUAACCAGAAAGCCACGGCUAACUACGUGCCAGCAGCCGCGGUAAUACGUAGGUGGCAAGCGUUGUCCGGAUUUAUUGGGCGUAAAGCGAGCGCAGGCGGUUUUUUAAGUCUGAU